UACGGAGGGUGCAAACGUUGCUCGGAAUCAUUGGGCGUAAAGCGCACGUAGGCGGCCCGUUAAGUCGGAUGUGAAAGCCCUGGGCUCAACCCAGGAAGUGCAUUCGAUACGGGACGGCUGGAGACCGGGAGAGGAGAGUGGAAUAGCCAGUGUAGAGGUGAAAUUCGUAGAUAUUGGCUGGAACACCGGUGGCGAAAGCGGCUCUCUGGCCCGGUUCUGACGCUGAGGCGCGAAAGCGUGGGGAGCAAACAGG
rnacentral:rRNA from 1 species